GGGCGGGCGUCAUGGCCGCCGCGCCCGACCUUGGGCCCAGCCCAAAAUCCCCUUUUUCCUCAUAGGAUCCGGCCCAAAACGCCGUUUUCCCCCGUAAGACCGGGCUCGCCACGUCCCCAGCCCGUCCCGGGCUCCAUCUCUCCGUCUAGAGCUCCCGCUGUGUCCUUGUUUGCCCUCGUCUCCCUCAGCCUAUGGCAGCAUCCCUACCUCCUCGCAGGCGCCCGGGUUGGGCCCGCGCCCGCCGCCCCCCUGCCCGCAGGGCUCUCGCCUCAUCCAUGAGUGACCAACAGCUGGAUUGUGCCUUGGAUUUGAUGAGGCGCCUGCCUCCGCAGCA